AUGGGCACUGGGGCCUUGGCACCAAUGAAUGGCCUUGAUUGGCUAACACCAAAGUUACAUGGAGCACUGUGUUAUAAGGCACCACAAAGAAACUGUUGCAUUGCCAAUCAGUUAAUAAUAUCAAAGGCUAGGGCUGGGGAUUUAGCUCAGCGGCAAAGCGCCUGCCUGGCAAGCACAAGGUCGUGAGUUCGGUUCCCGGUACCGGAGAAAAACCAAAAAAAAAAAAUAAUAAUAAUAAUAAUAAUAUCAAAGGCUGAGUAUAAUAAUCAUGUAUUUUAAAAAUACAAAUACUCGGGUCCCACUCUGUAAGUCUGAAUCUACUGGGGCAUUUUUAUUUUGUAAUAGCUAUAGAAAAGACUUUAAGAACUAGCCAGACUUGGGACAUCCCAUCCCAGAAUUACACAACUCUUCCUUUUGUACCUGCAUUGACAGUUGAUAGAGAACACAAAGUAGGUGUGAAUUUCACAACUUUAAAAGUUGGCUGUGGACUUUACAAGAGCAAGUGAAGGACAGGAAGUGUAGCAAAGAAUUAAACAAUAAACAAUCCUAUCCAAGAAGGUAAUAUCAAGCCUAAGGGGUUUUUAACCCCUUAGGGUUUUUAACUACGGAAGGGAAAGCACUCAAGCUAGCCCUGAAUGGAUAGACACUAAGUUCACUUUCAUAGCAAAUGCAAUAAACUUUGGCCAUAUAGAGAGUUUGCUAUCAUAGGUGUCUGAUAAAAAGUGUUAUAAUACCCUAGGCUCAAAAGUUUGCACUAACAAUUUGCCAUUGGGGUCAAAUUAUAGACAGUAGUAAAAUCAAAUGCUCGUUACUCACAAGUAGAUUUUAAAUGUCCACUUUUUCAAUGAAGUUGGCCCCUUGGCACUAAAGAACAAUGACAACAGAGGAGGUGGCAGUAAAAUACUGCGCCUUUAGAAAGAUCUUAGAGGUGUUCUAAAGAGGUCUCUAUGGCCAUCUAUAAAGCAGAAGUCAAUGUAUCCAUUAUUUACUUAAUAUUAUAUUCAAUACCUCACUUCAUUAUACCAAUAGCUGCCUGCGCUAGCCAGUGAAAAGGACUGUUUAAAUGGCAAGCACUUCAUUUAUAUGCUAAAAGGCCAAGAACUAAUGUCAUCUAGACCCUUCAUCACAGAAUUUCCUCACUCACACCUAAGUCCAUAAAACGAACCUUAUAGAGUCCUCCACAUAACUUUUAGUCGUCUCCCUUAAAUGACUAUAACCUCAAAUGCUGUAAGUUUAAUAGACUGCCAGGAGGUAUUCAGAUUUAAUGAAGACUCUGAAGACACCAACUGCAGCCUCUAGAAACAGGGACUUGUCCUGCUUACGUCCUGCCAGCCUCAAAGGAGGCUGUCCUCUUCACCUGGCUGGGCUUCUGUGCCCACUUCGACAGACCACCCUAUAAACACAGUUCCUCCACCUUCUCCACUGUUACUGAGGACUCUGCCCCCAUGCUCUACCUAACAGAACAGAUACCUUGUUGACCAUAGCAGCCCAGGAUGAAUCCCAAAUUGCCAUGAUCUCAAGAUGUGGCCUAGGAGACAAUCCAAAGAGCUACUCCACAGCUGAAUCUCCCUGGCCCCUACUCUGUCUCUUGAAACUGCCAGCUAUCCUGCAGUUCCCAGAAGGCCUGCCCAACAUCUGACAUUUAUUGUGGAUACCAUAAAUUCCAUUCAGUAAGGACUGGUGAUUUCCAGUUCAGAAAUGCAAGUGUAAAAGAUAUGGCCCUUUU
rnacentral:lncRNA from 1 species